rnacentral:miRNA from 1 species
GUGUCUAAUUCAGUACAAUG